GACGAACGCUGGCGGCGUGCUUAACACAUGCAAGUCGAACGGUGAAAGAAGAGCUUGCUCUUAUGGAUCAGUGGCGAACGGGUGAGUAACACGUGAGUAACCUGCCCCAGACUCUGGAAUAAGCGCUGGAAACGGCGUCUAAUACCGGAUACGAGACAGAGCUGCAUGGCUACUGUCUGGAAAGUGUUUCGGUCUGGGAUGGACUGGCGGCCUAUCAGCUUGUUGGUGAGGUAACGGCUCACCAAGGCAACGACCGGUAGCCGGCCUGGGAGGGGGAACGGGCACCCUGGGACUACGAGACGGCGCAGACGCGUACGGUAGGCAGCAGUGGAGAAUAUUGCACAAUGGGCGAGAGCCUGAGGCGGCGACGCCGCGGGUGGGAUGACGGCCUUCGGGGUGUAAACCGCUUUCUGCAGGGAAGGAGCGAAAGUGACGGUACCUGCAGAAGAAGCACCGGCUAACUACGUG
rnacentral:rRNA from 1 species